rnacentral:rRNA from 1 species
GGUGAACGCUGGCGUUAGGCCUAACACAUGCAAGUCGAACGGCAGCACAGUAAGAGCUUGCUCUUACGGGUGGCGAGUGGCGGACGGGUGAGGAAUACAUCGGAAUCUACUUUUUCGUGGGGGAUAACGUAGGGAAACUUACGCUAAUACCGCAUACGACCUACGGGUGAAAGCAGGGGAUCUUCGGACCUUGCGCGAUUGAAUGAGCCGAUGUCGGAUUAGCUAGUUGGCGGGGUAAAGGCCCACCAAGGCGACGAUCCGUAGCUGGUCUGAGAGGAUGAUCAGCCACACUGGAACUGAGACACGGUCCAGACUCCUACGGGAGGCAGCAGUGGGGAAUAUUGGACAAUGGGCGCAAGCCUGAUCCAGCCAUACCGCGUGGGUGAAGAAGGCCUUCGGGUUGUAAAGCCCUUUUGUUGGGAAAGAAAAGCAGCAGGUUAAUACCCCGCUGUUCUGACGGUACCCAAAGAAUAAGCACCGGCUAACUUCGUG